AGCCAAAGUUCUCUAAUCUAAAUAUGGGUGAAGCAGCACUUCCCGCCGGAGCAAACCCCAACUUCAACAACGUCACUAUCCGUGGCCGAAGAAAUGUCGUAUUCGCUACCUACGGGUUGUACAUUGGAGCGUUUGCUCUCUACAAGUUCAAGUAUGGCAAAAAGGACGCUAAAUAAUUUGAAUAUCUUCAACGAUACACAAUCCUGCAGCUCAUCAUUUGGAUUAUUCUCACGCAUUUCUAAAUUUCCUAAGAUUUGAGGAUUGAGUCUCAGUGUUUUCUCGAUAUAUUGAGGACUUCUGCUUAAAAUGUACUGGACUUAAUAUAUUGAUUAAAUGCUGUUAUUUUGUAGCAGCUGUUUGUCCCAUUUAUAUUUAGUUCCGAGUUAUUAUUAAGUUAUUGUCACGAUAUUACUAUGAAGUUAUAAUGAGGUA